UACAGAGGUCCCAAGCGUUGUUCGGAUUCACUGGGCGUAAAGGGUGCGCAGGCGGUUCUGCAAGUCAGGCGUGAAAUCCCCGGGCUUAACCUGGGAAUGGCGCUUGAAACUACGGGACUGGAGUAUGGCAGAGGGAGGUGGAAUUCCACGUGUAGCGGUGAAAUGCGUAGAGAUGUGGAAGAACACCCGUGGCUAAGGCGGCUCUCUAGUACGGUACUGACGCUGAGACGCGAAAGCGUGGGGAGCGAACAGG
rnacentral:rRNA from 1 species